CCUACGGGGGGCAGCAGUGGGGAAUAUUGGACAAUGGGCGAAAGCCUGAUCCAGCCAUGCCGCGUGUGUGAAGAAGGCCUUCGGGUUGUAAAGCACUUUCAGUGGGGAAGAAAGCCUUGGGGCUAAUACCCUCGAGGAAGGACAUCACCCACAGAAGAAGCACCGGCUAACUCCGUGCCAGCAGCCGCGGUAAUACGGAGGGUGCGAGCGUUAAUCGGAAUUACUGGGCGUAAAGCGCGCGUAGGCGGUCUGAUAAGCCGGUUGUGAAAGCCCCGGGCUCAACCUGGGAACGGCAUCCGGAACUGUCAAGCUAGAGUGCAGGAGAGGAAGGUAGAAUUCCCGGUGUAGCGGUGAAAUGCGUAGAGAUCGGGAGGAAUACCAGAGGCGAAGGCGGCCUUCUGGACUGACACUGACGCUGAGGUGCGAAAGCGUGGGUAGCAAACAGGAUUAGAUACCCUGGUAGUC
rnacentral:rRNA from 1 species